UACGUAGGGUGCAAGCGUUGUCCGGAAUUAUUGGGCGUAAAGAGCUCGUAGGCGGUCUGUCGCGUCGGAUGUGAAACCUCGGGGCUCAACCCCGAGCCUGCAUUCGAUACGGGCAGACUAGAGUUCGGUAGGGGAGACUGGAAUUCCUGGUGUAGCGGUGAAAUGCGCAGAUAUCAGGAGGAACACCGGUGGCGAAGGCGGGUCUCUGGGCAUUUCCUGACGCUGAGGCGCGAAAGCGUGGGGAGCAAACGGG
rnacentral:rRNA from 1 species